UACGAAGGGUGCAAACGUUGCUCGGAAUUAUUGGGCGUAAAGCGCACGUAGGCGGCAUUGCAAGUCGGAUGUGAAAUCCCUCGGCUUAACCAAGGAAGUGCAUCCGAAACUGCAGUGCUUGAGUACUUAAGAGGAUCGCGGAAUUCCCGGUGUAGAGGUGAAAUUCGUAGAUAUCGGGAGGAACACCAGUGGCGAAGGCGGCGAUCUGGGAAGAUACUGACGCUGAGGUGCUAAAGCGUGGGGAGCAAACAGG
rnacentral:rRNA from 1 species